rnacentral:rRNA from 1 species
GACGACCGCUGGCGGCGUGCUUAACACAUGCAAGUCGAACGGAAAGGCCCUGCUUUUGUGGGGUGCUCGAGUGGCGAACGGGUGAGUAACACGUGAGUAACCUGCCCUUGACUUUGGGAUAACUUCAGGAAACUGGGGCUAAUACCGGAUAGGAGCCCCAGCUGCUUGGCGGGGGAUGGAAAGUUUCGGCGGUUGGGGAUGGACUCGCGGCUUAUCAGCUUGUUGGUGGGGUAGUGGCUUACCAAGGCUUUGACGGGUAACCGGCCUGAGAGGGUGACCGGCCACAUUGGGACUGAGAUACGGCCCAGACUCCUACGGGAGGCAGCGGUGGGGAAUAAUGCACAAUGGGCGGAAGCCUGAUGCAGCAACGCCGGGAGCGGGAUGACGGCCUUCGGGUUGUAAAGCGCUUUCGCCUGUGACGAAGCGUGAGUGACGGUAAUGGGUAAAGAAGCACCGGCUAACUACGUG